rnacentral:tRNA from 1 species
GACCAAGAGCCUUCAAAGCCCUCAGUAAGUUAACAAAACUUAAUUUCUG